AAUUCUUAAAAAUAGCUUUGUUUUAUUUCUGUGAAUAAAGAGUAGGUGCUUUGGGUUGACCAGAUGGUCGAAAGACGAGGGGCAAAAUGGCCUGGGAGUCUCAUUCUGUUUCUACUCUAUAUUAGCCAAGUGACUUGGUGUUACUUUCUCCCCUCUGGGCCUCAGUUCUAGAAAAAGAAGAAAUUGGAUUAGCCAAUCUCUGGGGCCUCUUGCCCAGUUCUCUGACCACCCUCCUGUUGACAACUAAGCAAUCAAACCCAUGGCUGCCAGAUUUGUUCAUGUCAAAGAGAAAUAACACAGCAAUCAUUCCAGCCAGGCUCUCCUUCAACAGGCCACACUCCACCAAGCAGGACUUUGGCCAUCACCACUUACGUGCCUGACAACAAUGGCUUGCAUAAAGCUACAAGCUCCAUAAAUAUUUGUUUCCGUGAUGAACGGCUGUUUAUCAGAAGCGCUAACAUCACUCUGUAUGCCUCAUGAAGACGGCAUGGUCCUGUCUGGAGAGCACCUAUUAAAUGAAACCCUGACAAAUGAGAGUGUGUCUUCCACAAGAUCCAGGGCUUCCGAAUGGCUCAUGUGCCCACACAUGACCUGAGGAUCUUGUUAAGAUGCAGAUUCCAUUCAGGAGUCUAACUUCCUACAAGCUGCCAAAUGUUAUCCAUGCUGCUGGUCCACAGACCACACUUUGAGUCGUGUGGGUAAGACGUCCAUGAUCUCAGAAGGUCUGAAAACCCGGACACAGGAAGGAUGGUUGCCGUGGAGACCUACAUGAUUGGAUCUGGAUAUUUGGAGGUGAAGAAUCAUAUGUUCCCCCUUCGCUGGCCCAAGGGCAGUGAGGGGAAGCUGCAUUACAUUCAGAAGAUUUUGAUUUCAGUUCAAUAGAGAGGAACUUCCAAACAAUCAGAAUUGUCCAUGCAGUGAAUGGAUUGCCUGGAAAUAUCUGUGCCUGCCCCACCUCCCCCAGACCUGGAGGUGUUGUGUUGUGGCAGAGGAGGGGACACUGGGCAGAGGUAUCACGGAAAGGAACCCUAAACAGGGAAUGGACCAGUUGGACGAGAUGGUCCCAGGGCCGAUCUAGUAAGGUUAAAGAAUAGUCUUUCCUUCCCCAGUUUGGAGCAGACACCACGUUUCAUUCUUAUUAACAAGGCUGUCAACAGGAGUUCCCGUUGUGGCUCGGUGGUAACGAACUCCACUAGU